rnacentral:sRNA from 1 species
ACUGCAUUUCCUGUCAGACCCUGAAACCCAUUAAAAUGUUAUGGUUCAACGAGAUCCCUUUAUGGAUGAGAGGAUGCCCGACUUUAUGGAUUGCGUGGGAGUUGGAGGCCUGCAAGAUAGUGAUCUUCCAGAAGGAGCCACUGUCCCUGCGUUGGGAUUGUCAAAUAAAGCUGUCUUUCAGGGAGAUAUAGCUUCUCAGCCUUCUGAUGAAGAGGAGCUGUUAACUAGUACUGGUUUUGAGUAUCAGCAGGUGGCCUUUCAGCCCUCCAUACUUACUGAGCCUCCCACUGAGGAUCAUCUUCUGCAGAAUACUUUGUGGCCUGAAGUUCAAAAACUAUAUGGGCAUGGUUAUGAAAUAUUUUGUGUUACUUGUAACAGUUCAAAGACUCUGCUUGCCUCAGCUUGUAAGGCAGCUAAGAAAGAGCAUGCAGCUAUCAUUCUUUGGAACACUACAUCUUGGAAACAGGUGCAGAAUUUAGUUUUCCACAGUUUGACAGUCACGCAGAUGGCCUUCUCACCUAAUGACAAGUUCUUACUAGCUGUUUCCAGAGAUCG